rnacentral:rRNA from 1 species
GAUGAACGCUGGCGGCGUGCCUAAUACAUGCAAGUAGAACGCUGAAGGAGGAGCUUGCUCUUCUGGAUGAGUUGCGAACGGGUGAGUAACGCGUAGGUAACCUGCCUGGUAGCGGGGGAUAACUAUUGGAAACGAUAGCUAAUACCGCAUGACAACAGUUAUUGCAUGAUAACUGUUUAAAAGGGGCAACUGCUCCACUACCAGAUGGACCUGCGUUGUAUUAGCUAGUUGGUGAGGUAACGGCUCACCAAGGCGACGAUACAUAGCCGACCUGAGAGGGUGAACGGCCAACCUGGGAAUGAGACACGGCCCAGACUCCUACGGGAGGGAGCAGUAGGGAAUCUUCGGCAAUGGACGGAAGUCUGACCGAGCAACGCCGCGUGAGUGAAGAAGGUUGUCGGAUCGUAAAGCUCUGUUGUAAGAGAAGAACGAGUGUGAGAGUGGAAAGUUCACACUGUGACGGUUUCUUACCAGAAAGGGACGGCUAACUACGUG